CGCAUCUGUGCAUGCAGCAUAUCAAUAAGCGGAGGAAAAGAAACUAACAAGGAUUCCCCUAGUAACGGCGAGUGAAGCGGGAAGAGCUCAAAUUUGAAAUCUUAAAGGGUUUCCCUUUACGAAUUGUAGUUUAAAGAAGUGUUUUCUGUUGAGGUUUUGGUAAAAGUUCUUUGGAAUAGGACAUCAAAGAGGGUGAGAAUCCCGUAUUUGACCUUUACUUUCAACUUUGUGAUACACUUUCAAAGAGUCGGAUUGUUUGGGAAUGCAGUCCAAAAUGGGUGGUAAAUUUCAUCUAAAGCUAAAUAUUGGCGAGAGACCGAUAGCGAACAAGUACCGUGAGGGAAAGAUGAAAAGAACUUUGAAAAGAGAGUUAAACAGUACGUGAAAUUGUCAAAAGGGAAGCGUUUGACACCAGUGUUGUUUUUCUGAAAAUCAAUUAAAGAACUGUUUAUGCUAAGCUGUUUAGACUUUAUCAGCUAAUCUGUUUAGUUUUGAGCUUUUCUUUAAUGCACUUUUCAGUUAACAAGUCAACAUCAAUUUCUUUUGCUGUAAAAAAGCUUGAGGAAGGUGGCUUGAGAUUCGUCUUAAGUGUUUAUAGCCUCUUGCCUAUGCAGUCGGAGAGAUUGAGGUCUGCAGCGUAGAUCCUUCGGGGCUAAAUGCAUUUGUGCUAAGUUAUAACAUUUUAUAGACAGCUUGUUGACUAUGAUUUGUCUUGUAGCUUACUCGCUUAUGUUAUUUUACCUACGCUUAGGAUGUUGAGCGCAUGUCUCUCUCU
rnacentral:rRNA from 1 species